rnacentral:lncRNA from 1 species
UGGAGUUGCUUGCACUGUGAAACUGUGAAAUAUCCGGCGAGAGGGGGUCGCCAAGAUCAUUAUGGGAGAGGCCAAAGUUUUGGAGAUGAGGGGGCCAGCAUAAACCAGGGGGCAAGCUCCCUGUCGAAUUGUUAUCAUAGAGAAUGAGGCUAUGGAGGGAGGAAGCAUUGAAAUGAUCUCCAUCUGGUGUUGGUGAGCACGAGAAUGGAAUGAGGAGCAGCAGAGACAAAAAGGAACAGAGAAAGAUGGAAAGCCCCAUUUUCUCUCUCUAAAAGAGGAGGAAUUUG